rnacentral:misc_RNA from 2 species
AACGCACCUUGCGCUCCUUGGUAUUCCGAGGAGCAUGCCUGUUUGAGCGUCGUGAAUCUCUCAACCCACAAAUUGUUUGUUCAGUUUGUGCGGCUUGGACUUGGAGGCAUUGCUGGCGAUGGCCAGCUCCUCUCAAAUGUAUUAGCUGGGCUUAGCUCGGUGGAACGGUUAGUGUGAUAAUUAUCUGCGCUGCCUACUACAUCGGAUCCCGCUUCUAAUCGUCCGGAAGGACAAUUCACUUUGAAUCUGACCUCAAAUCAGGUAGGACUACCCGCUGAACUUAA